rnacentral:rRNA from 1 species
UUUAACUGAAGAGUUUGAUCAUGGCUCAGAUUGAACGCUGGCGGCAGGCUUAACACAUGCAAGUCGAGCGGGGAAGGGUAGCUUGCUACCUAACCUAGCGGCGGACGGGUGAGUAAUGCUUAGGAAUCUGCCUAUUAGUGGGGGACAACAUCUCGAAAGGGAUGCUAAUACCGCAUACGUCCUACGGGAGAAAGCAGGGGAUCUUCGGACCUUGCGCUAAUAGAUGAGCCUAAGUCGGAUUAGCUAGUUGGUGGGGUAAAGGCCUACCAAGGCGACGAUCUGUAGCGGGUCUGAGAGGAUGAUCCGCCACACUGGGACUGAGACACGGCCCAGACUCCUACGGGAGGCAGCAGUGGGGAAUAUUGGACAAUGGGGGGAACCCUGAUCCAGCCAUGCCGCGUGUGUGAAGAAGGCCUUAUGGUUGUAAAGCACUUUAAGCGAGGAGGAGGCUACUUUAGUUAAUAACUAGAGAUAGUGGACGUUACUCGCAGAAUAAGCACCGGCUAACUCUGUGCCAGCAGCCGCGGUAAUACAGAGGGUGCAAGCGUUAAUCGGAUUUACUGGGCGUAAAGCGCGCGUAGGCGGCUAAUUAAGUCAAAUGUGAAAUCCCCGAGCUUAACUUGGGAAUUGCAUUCGAUACUGGUUAGCUAGAGUGUGGGAGAGGAUGGUAGAAUUCCAGGUGUAGCGGUGAAAUGCGUAGAGAUCUGGAGGAAUACCGAUGGCGAAGGCAGCCAUCUGGCCUAACACUGACGCUGAGGUGCGAAAGCAUGGGGAGCAAACAGGAUUAGAUACCCUGGUAGUCCAUGCCGUAAACGAUGUCUACUAGCCGUUGGGGCCUUUGAGGCUUUAGUGGCGCAGCUAACGCGAUAAGUAGACCGCCUGGGGAGUACGGUCGCAAGACUAAAACUCAAAUGAAUUGACGGGGGCCCGCACAAGCGGUGGAGCAUGUGGUUUAAUUCGAUGCAACGCGAAGAACCUUACCUGGCCUUGACAUA